rnacentral:rRNA from 1 species
GUGCCAGCCGCCGCGGUAAUACAGAGGGUGCGAGCGUUGUCCGGAAUCACUGGGCGUAAAGGGCGCGUAGGUGGUUUGGUAAGUGUGUGGUGAAAGCCCGGGGCUCAACCCCGGGUCUGCCGCGCAAACUGCCGAACUAGAGCAUACUAGAGGCAGGUUGAAUUCCGGGUGUAGCGGUGGAAUGCGUAGAGAUCCGGAAGAACACCGGUGGCGAAGGCGGCCUGCUGGGGUAGAGCUGACACUGAGGCGCGACAGCGUGGGGAGCAAACAGGAUUAGAAACCCCAGUAGUCC